rnacentral:rRNA from 1 species
UACGUAGGGUGCAAGCGUUGUCCGGAAUUAUUGGGCGUAAAGAGCUCGUAGGCGGUCUGUCACGUCGGCUGUGAAAACCCGAGGCUCAACCUCGGGCCUGCAGUCGAUACGGGCAGACUAGAGUUCGGUAGGGGAGACUGGAAUUCCUGGUGUAGCGGUGAAAUGCGCAGAUAUCGGGAGGAACACCGGUGGCGAAGGCGGUUCUCUGGGCCUUACCUGACGCUGAGGAGCGAAAGCGUGGGGAGCGAACAGG